CCAGCUCAGAAUCAAUUAGCGGUAAGUGGAAUAAUCCAAAUCCGUUAUAUAUUAGUACUUAAGUCUCUUUCAUAUUUUCGAUAAGAAAUAUUUUCUUCAAUACAAUCUGUAUUAAAGAGACUAGCUGCUUUCCCUGCCCCGUAGCUCGCUUCUCCAAGUCCUAGCCAGUUACAGAUGAAUGAAAUGUGAAGCAGGGUGUGUGGACAAUGUGUAUGGAGACAGGAGACUGGUGUCCACUCUCCUCCCUGAGGAAGAACAAGUCGCAGCUGCAGUAUCAGCUUGAUUUACAUUCAUGUCUUAUGUGUCCCCUUUCUCGCUUUUCUCUUCUCUGUUUUUAUUAGUACACUCUCUAGCUCUUACUUCCAUAGCUGUAACAUUUCCAUUAGAAUGUUGUGAAUCACACCAUCAUUCGUUUCCUUUGUUAA